UCUUUCAAUCUUCCUUGGCCAGACAGAUCAUGUACAGAGCGGCAUGUGAGCAGCAGUGACAGAGUGGGCAAGCCUUACCGUGGCGUAAAGCCUGUUUUCAGCAUUGGGGAUGAAGAAGAAUACGACACAGAUGAAAUUGACAGUUCUUCAAUGUCAGAUGAUGAUAGAAAAGAGGUUGUAAACAUUCAGACUUGGAUAAACAAACCAGAUGUCAAACAUCAUUUUCCUUGUAAAGAAGUAAAAGAAAGUGGACACAUGUUUCCCAGUCAUCUGUUGGUUACUGCAACACAUAUGUACUGUUUAAGGGAGAUUGUUUCACGGAAAGGAUUGGCUUAUAUACAGUCUCGACAAGCGCUGAAUUCUGUAGUUAAAAUUACAUCCAAAAAAAAACAUCCUGAACUCAUUACCUUCAAGUAUGGAAAUAGCAGUGCUUCAGGAAUAGAAAUCUUGGCAAUCGAAAGGUAUUUGAUUCCAAAUGCAGGGGAUGCAACUAAAGCCAUAAAACAGCAGAUCAUGAAAGUUUUGGAUGCUUUGGAAAGUUAAUAUAAAAGAAAAUUAUAUAAAAAGAAAUUAAGACAACCAAGAGAAACAUGGACAUAUACCUCCUGACUGAAUACUAACUGGAGACCUUUCAUUUGCUCAUGGGGCUGCUUAAAUAGCAGGUCUAAGAAAGUGUAAAUUAUUAUAAUCAAUCUGUGGACAGUAAACUUUUUAAAAAUUUUUCUUCUGCAUUUUGGUUUUAUAAAAUGAUGUAUUAUAAAGGUCAGUUAUUAAAUUACUUUGAAGUAACUGACCCUGUGCCCUUAUGGACUAAGUAAGGGUACAGAAUGCAGUUCUGUUUUGAAGAGCUGUUUUAAGGGAACAUGCAUCACUUUCGGGAUCAAAAACAACUGUACACAUACAUAUCUGCAGUGUCUUCACUGAAAAUUAGAGAUAGAAUUAGUUGAAGAGACUUCCUUAAUUGCUACAUUGUUUUACUCACUGAGCAAUAUCAGAAACUAAAACAUAGAUUAAUAAUUCACUCACUGUUUCUAUUCUUCUUAAAAAGAGUGAAAUCUUUUUAAUGGAAUGGUUGAAGAUUCCUGCCAACUCAAAAUACAGUACAGCUAGUAAAAUGUUGAAACAUCAGUUUCUAAAUCACCUUUGCUCCAUUAGCUAAUUUUUUGGACACUAAAUGCUUCAAAGAUAAGAAACUUCAUCCUAAUGAUUUCUAAAGAGCAGUUAAAAGCAUUAAAAUAAGUAGGUAGGCUGUUAAGAUUAAAAUUAACAUUUUGGGGACAGAAUUGUGUCUGUAAAAAUGUCAUUGGUUUUAUUACAAGCGGAUUAUUUUAUUCAUAUUUUAAAACAAAUGUUUAAGCCACAUUGAUUUAUCCUCAUUGAGGAUUAUGGUCUGUGACCACAGUAAUAUCCACUUAUAUAAAUGCCAAAUAAUCAGAGAGCUUAUAAAGUACAAUUGUUUUUGUCAUCAUUUUCUGAAUUUCUUUCUCUUCUUUUGGUUUUGUCCUCUCAUUGAAGUUCCAGUGGUUUGAAAUUAGUUUUGGACACAUUGUCUUAAUGUACUGAAAAUUGCUCUGCUGUAUUUUGCAGCGUUCUUCAUUUAAUUUAUAAUGGUCCAUAUUAGACACAUUUGGUAAGAGAAGUCCAGGAACACAUUUAGGGCCAUGGAAUAGUAUUUUGUAAAAUCCAUUUGGGAAGUUGCAAUACCCACAAUCUGACAUGUCCUAAAAUGUAAGGGAUUAUCUCUAAGGGGUUGAUGGGAGAAAUAUUUAGAUGUACCCUGUUAACAGCCAGUCAUUUUGAUUUACUUAUGGAAAUCAAGUGAAUAAAAGGCAACAUAAUUUGGGAAAUUUUAUUCUAAUAUCUAAUAAAAACAGUUUGAGUGGUUGAAGACAUCUGCAUGAAAUUGCACCUAGGUGCAUUACUUGAUAUAACUCUCCCCUAAAACUGUUGUAAUUGCAUUUUUUCCCUUUUCUUGGCACCCCUUUAGAAAUGUACUGAAGUCUCAUUUUUCACCCAUUUCAGCCAUGGGACAUUUUUCAUAAUAUUAAUGUAAAGAUGUUUGUGUUACUGUUUAUAAAUUACAAUUGUAAAUAAAUUACUAGUUUGCCC
rnacentral:lncRNA from 1 species